AUGGUUCUGAUUGGUUCUUUGUGUGUUCCACAGGAAGACUGCUCCCUGACCUACCUGAGUCUUGCAGGAAAUCAACUGAUGGACGGCAGAGUGGCCACCCUCGCCAGUGUGUCCUGCUGUCCAGGUGUUGGCCUGUCUGUCUCUCCGUGGUGUAUGUGGACCUGUCAGAGAAACAGGCAGGGACCUCAGUGGGACUCCACAGCCUCCUCUCCACCCAGCUACCUUUGACCUAUCUGAACCUCCAUGCAACCUCCCAACAUUUGCUGAUGGACUGAAGAAAUGGUCAAGCUGAGAAAUGAUUAAAUCGCUUUGAUCUGUCAUGUUCCCCCUAGUCUCUUCCCACAGCCACUGUAUCUCUGACACAACACUGGGGGUGGAGCAUCAUGAGUCUUACCAGUGAAACAAUGUUCACACCCAACUGGUUGUGAGUUUAAAAUAAACACAGCUUCACACUUUGGUUUCCUGACAGGCCUUCUUCUCACUGUUUAAUAUUUCUACAAAGGAGGGUGUUGGGUGAGCUUCAAGAUACUGUGGUAAAGUUCCUAGUCGCACAUCAGUGUUAUCACCUUAAUGUAUCACUAUAUCACUCAGAGAUUGGGCCAAGCCAAUUAUGGUUAGGAUAACUCAUUUCAUCACCAUUUAUUGUAAUUUCCCAUUUCUAAAAAGCAAUUACUAAAUGGUUUCUGUUAGUGCAACUUGUGGAUGGUGCUACUUGUUAAUUAUUUAAGCAUACCCAUUGUGCUGCUAACCACACUAUUACACUAUUCAGGUUGGGGACAUUUUUUUUAAACGAUGCAUGCGUUCAUACUGAAAUACUUUAUAGAGAGUGCAGCAUGAGCAAAUCAUUGGACACGUAGUCUCUUCCCACAGCUGCUGUGUCUAACCUUUUAGUUUGAGGCAAGCCAGACUAAGACAUGCAUGUGGUUAUACUCAAGUCUAGCUAGAAUCCUCUCAGAUGCAGAUAAAUAAACAUUACACUACAUAAACUUAUGUAUGUUUAAUUUGAGUCUUCCUAAAACUGCAACCCUUCCCAGUUGGCUUUACAGCCUUUUUGUAUUUUAUUUGACUAGUAGACCUGUAUUCUUUUAGGAACUCAGUCAUGGUCCUACAGUUGUAUAAGGUAGUUGUUGUGAAAUUGUUAGAUUACUUGUUAGAUAUUACCGCACGGUCGGAACUAGAAUCACAAGCAUUUCGCUACACUCGUAUUAACAUCUGCUAACCAUGUAUAUGUGACCAAUAAGAUUUGAUUUGAUUUGUUGAGAGUUAGAAAAGUGGAAUUCACAAGGUGUAUCUUUUGAUGACAGGUUGCAGAGUGAUCUCAGGCAUUUAUAUUAUGUUAUAUUAAUAUUAUGCAUUAUGUAGAUAUAUCUACUUCAGUGUGUCUUUGUGGGGGCGGUUAAACAGUGCAUUCGGAAAGUAUUCAGACUCCUUCACUUUCUCCACAUUUUUACGUUACAGCCUUAUUCUAAAAUUGAAUAAGUCGUUUUUUGUCCUCAUCAAUCUACACACAAUACCCCAUAAUACCAAAGCAAAAACUGGUUUUAGGAUUUUUUUUUGCAAAUACAUUAAAAAAAGUAUAAAAAUAAAUAUCAAAUGUACAUAAGUAUUCAGCUUCUUUGGCAGCGAUUACAGCCUUGAGUAUGACGCUACAAGCUCGGCACACCUGUAUUUGGGAGUUUCUCCUAUUCUUCUCUGCAGAUCCUCUCAAGCUCUUUUAGGUUGGAUGUGGAGCAUCGCUGCACAGCUUUUUUCAGGUCUCUCCAGAGAUGUUCAAUCGGGAUCAAGUCUGGGGUCUGGCUGGGCCACUCAAGGACAUUCAGAGACUUGUCCCGAAGCCACUCCUGCAUUGUGUUGACUGUGUGCUUAGGGUUGUUGUCCUGUUGGAAAGUGAAACUUCACCCCAUUCUGAGGUCCUGAGCACUCUGGAGCAGGUUUUCAUCAAGGAUCUCUGUACUUUGCUACAUUCAUCUCCCAGUCCCUGCCGCUGAUAAACAUCCCCACAGCAUGAUGCUGCCAUCAGCAUGCUUCACCGUAGGGAUGGUGCCAGGUUUCCUCCAGAUGUGACGCUUGACAUUCAGGCCAAAGAAUUCAAUCUUGGUUUCAUCAGACCAGAAAAUCAUGUUUCUCAUGUUCUGAGAGUCCUUUAGGUACUUUUUGUCAAACUCCAAGCGGGCUGUUGUGUGCUUUUUACUGAGUAGUGGGUUCUGUCUGGAUACUCAGGCCUGAUUUGGCCUGAUUUGUGAAGUUCUUGGUCACCUUGGUCACCUCACUGACCAAUGCCCUUUAUCCCCCAAUUGCUCAGUUUGGCUGGGUGACCAGCUCUAGGAAGAGUCUUGGUGGUUCCAAACUUCUUCCAUUUGGAAUGAUGGAGGCCACUGUGUUCUUGGGGACCUUACAUGCUGCAGAAAUGUUUUGGGACCCUUCCCCAGAACUGUGCCUCGACACAACCCUGUCUCGGGGCUCUACAGACAAUUCCUUUGACCUCAUGGCUUGAUUUUUGCUCUGACAUGUACUGUCAACUGUGGGACCUUAUAUAGACAGGUGUGUGCCUUUCUAAAUCAUGUCCAAUCAAUGUAAUCUACCACAGGUGGACUCCAAUCAAGUUGUAGAGACAUCUCAAGGAUGAUCAAUGGAAUCCGGAUGCACCUGAGCUCAAUUUUGAGACUCAUAGCAAAGGGUCUGAAUAAUUAUGUAUGGUAUUUCUGUUUUUUAUUUUUAUUAAAACCAUUUUUAAAUUUUUUCGCAUUGUCAAUUUGUGCAGAUUGAUGGGAAAACAAUUAUUUAAUCAAUUUUAGGAUAAGUCUGUAACUUUCACGCCCUGACCUUAGAGAUCCUUUUUAUGUCUCUGUUUUGGUUUGGUCAGGGCGUGAGUUGCGGUGGGCAUUUUAUGUUUUGUGUUCUAUGUUUUCUAUUUCUUUGUGUUUGGCCGGGUAUGGUUCUCAAUCAGGGACAGCUGUCUAUCGUUGUCUCUCAUUGGGAACCAUACUUAGGUACCCUUUUCCCACAUGUGUGUGUGUGUGUGAGGUUGUCUCUGUUUAGAGCACUUUGCUUGUGAGCUUCACGUUUUAAAAAAAUGUAGUGUUUAUUGUUUUGUUUGGCGUCAUUUUGCUUAAAAUAAAGAAAAUGUACGCUCACCACGCUUGCACCUUGGUCCUCAUCCUUCAACAGCCGUGAGAGAACCUCCCAACCACCAAAGGACCAAGCAGCGUGGUGUAAUGGACUCCUGGACAUGGGAUGAGAUCUUGGAUGGGAAGGGACCCUGGAGGCACGCCAUCCACAGGAGGAACUGGAGGCAGCUAAGGCUGAGUGGCAACAUUACGAGGGAACACGGCUGGCAAGGAAGCCAGAGAGGCAGCCCCAACCA
ensembl:lncRNA